rnacentral:lncRNA from 1 species
UGCCGCGUACCAACAAUACCAUUAGAACUAAAAUUAAACCCUUCAUCCUCUUCAUCAACAGUUCCAACAACAACAACAUUAUCAUCCUCAGAAAACCCAUGAUUCUUCAACCUUGCACUGAAAGACCUUAAAUCAUCUCUCAUAGCAACAAUCCCAAUACCAAUCCUCUCCCUACCCAUAUCCCCUCCGAUAAAAACCGAUCCCAUCACAUCAUCUUCCUCAUGCUUAUACGACACAUGCAAUAGCCUGUAAAACUGCUGAACCAUCCCAUUUAAACAGGCACCAAAGUCAGCUCCAACCAUCCCAUUUAAUGUAUAAUAUUUAAAAACAGAAGUCACAUUGAUGUUGUGAUUUUCAAAAGGAUCGGGAUCCAAAAGCGAUAGAAGAAAGAAACAAAAAAGAGAGAUCGUUGAGGGAAACAGUGAGAGAGACAAAACGCAAGAAAUGCCAAAUAAGAGAGAAAGUGAGAAAAUCUGAAACAUAUAACCACAUUAAUAGACAGAGAUGAAGAAGAAAUUCAUAAUGAAGAAUAAAUAGAACUUACAAAUCAUUAUGUGAAACUGGAAUACCAAAAAAUAUGAGUUGGUCCCAAUAUAUAGAAGACGCGAGAUCUGGUUGAGUAUUAUGUUUGGGGUUGUUCAAUCGUUGAAUCGUUGAGGAGGAAUUAGAAGAGUAAGGGUUUGAAGGGGUCAGAUUAGAAGAAGAAGGUGAAGAGAGAAAUAUUUCCAAAAAAAU